CAGCCGUAAACUAUGCGCGUUAGGUGUAUCGGUGACCACGAGUUACCGAGGUGCCGAAGGGAAACCGUGAAACGUGCCGCCUGGGAAGUACGGUCGCAAGGCCGAAACUUAAAGGAAUUGGCGGGGGAGCACCACAACGGGUGGAGCCUGCGGUUUAAUUGGACUCAACGCCGGGAAGCUCACCGGAUAAGACAGCGGAAUGAUUGCCGGGCUGAAGACUCUGCAUGACUAGCUGAGAGGAGGUGCAUGGCGUAGACGUCU
rnacentral:rRNA from 1 species